AUAAACUGAUUUUUGUAAAAGGACUAGGUUUUAAAGGUGUCUCUAACUCAGUGUUUUCUAUCAGCAUAAACUAAUUGAAAUGAUCAUUUGAUAGACAUUGGACACAGUUGCCAGAGAAUCUGCAUGAAGGAGAAAACCCUGCAGAUGGCUGUGGAGUUGGAAGGAUGGUUUUUAAUGUGUAAGAUACACUCAGAAUGCUCACAACUGAGAAUGCCUCAACUGUUUAAAGAAACCACCUUGAGUGGCGUCUAGAUUUCUAAUGAAGAAUGAUACAGUUUGGAUUAAGUAUCUUGGACUGGUUUUAAACAAGUGCUUUGUCCUGGAUCUGUUGAAGCACCUGGCCAGCUUGGUAUCCUGUGAAACGUUUGUUAUUUUCUGGGUAGACAUUCUUAUAGAGUAUUGUCUUUAAAAUCAGAUCGUCUCUUCUAUAUUGAAAGCAUUUUUAUGUUUUCUGCUUUAACAGCGGAUAAAAUUUUACAUUUGUAAAAUUAAUAUAUUGUAUUGGUACAAAAUAG
rnacentral:lncRNA from 1 species